rnacentral:rRNA from 1 species
ACAUCGGUUCUGAGGGUCGGUCAAAGGCCCUGGGAAUGUAUCUACCCACGGGUAGACUUAUAGACCAGGGUGUCAUGCGGCCUCUCGGGACCGAGGAACGCGCUUCGGCUCGGAUGUUGGCGUAAUGGUUGUCAGCGACCCGUCUUGAAACACGGAAACUUUCCAAAAGGUUGACCUCGGAUCAGGUAGGAAUACGCGCUGAACUUAAGCAUAUCAAUAAGCGCAGGAAAAGAAACCAACAGGGAUUGCCUCAGUAACGGCGAGUGAAGCGGCAACAGCUCAAAUUUAAAAUCUGGCCUCUCGGGGUCCGAGUUGUAAUUUGUAGAGGAUGUUUUGGGUACCGCCCCGGUCUAAAUUUCUUGGAACAGAAUGUCAAAGAGGGUGAGAGUCCCGUCUUGGACCGGCGGUAGGGCCUGUGUGAAACUCCUUCGACGAGUCGAGUUGUUUGGGAAUGCAGCUCAAAUUGGGUGGUAAAUUUCAUCUAAAGCUAAAUAUUGGCCAGAGACCGAUAGCGCACAAGUAGAGUGAUCGAAAGAUGAAAAGCACUUUGAAAAGAGAGUUAAACAGUAUGUGAAAUUGUUGAAAGGGAAGCGCUGGCUAUCGAUGAAGAGCGCGGCGGUUCCCCCGGUCUUUUGGCCGGGCUACUCCGUCGUGUCCAGGCCAACAUCGGUUCUGAGGGUCGGUCAAAGGCCCUGGGAAUGUAUCUACCCACGGGUAGACUUAUAGACCAGGGUGUCAUGCGGCCUCUCGGGACCGAGGAACGCG